rnacentral:rRNA from 1 species
UGCAGANUCCCGCGAAUCAUCGAGUCUUUGAACGCAAGUUGCGCCCGAAGCCAUUCGGCCGAGGGCACGUCUGCCUGGGUGUCACGCAUCGUUGCCCCCACCCCAACACCUCGUAUGAUGUGUGCGGUGCGGGGCAGAAAUUGGCCUCCCGUGCGCGUUGCUCGCGGUUAGCCCAAAAGCGAGUCCUGGGCGACGAGCGCCACGACAAUCGGUGGUUGACAAAACCCUCGUGCCCCGUCGUGCGUUGCUCGACGCCGUGAAGGCUCUCCUCGACCCUAUUGCGUCGUUCUUGCGACUCUACCAUCGCGACCCCAGGUCAGGCGGGAUUACCCGCUGAAUUUAA